CCAAGAUGAAGUUUCCUGAUGCAACAGGGGGACACCUGAGGACACAGAAUAAAGAAGGACCAUGUGAAGCAGAUGAUGGUGAAGGUUGAGGAGAUAAUGACUUGAUCAGAAACUGUGGCCGACAACUGCAAACGCGCAGCAAACAGCAAAACGAGCUGCAAACAGACUCAUGAAGAGGACGGUCAGAGUCGUCCAUAGCUUUCUUGACUCUUCUGAAGAAUCUUUCUUUGCGUCAUCUCCAGAGGUUCCACAGUCAUCUCCAGAACAGAACCAGAACCAAUCCAGCCUUCUUUAUCAGAUUGUUGAACCUUUUGAGGUUCCUGGCUCUGAUGCUGCUGCACCAACAGAUGAUAGCAGAAGAGAUGACACUCUCAGCAGCAGACUUAAAGAUCUGCAGCAACUUGCUGCAAACCUUGAAGGAUCUUAGCUUCCUGGAGAAGUGCAGUCUGCUCUGUCUCUUUUUGUAGACGGCUUGUCCAUGUGGUUCCUGCCUUCUGUUGCGU